rnacentral:lncRNA from 1 species
AGUAUAGACAAUGGUGUGUGAUCCAACCAAAUAGGGCUUAAAUUUUUUAGGAUAAAGAUAACAACUAGAAACUCCUUUUUAGUGGUAGUGUAAUCAAGCUGUGUAUCAUUUAAGAUUUUGCUCGCAUAAUAAAUAACUUUAGGUAGCUUAUUAAUUAUUUAACCUAAAAUUAUGUCCACAGCAUGAUCGGACACAUCACAAAUGAGUUUAAAAGGUUCAGAC